CCAUGACGGUGGCGGCGGUCCGACCGAAGAAAUAUGAAUUUUAUGUUGGUUGUUGAGGUCAAUGUACAGUCUAUCGCAAUAUCUGCUGCCGGUAAAAACAUCCUCUCUGGAGCAGAAUCGCUCGCACCGAAUCAGGACCAGCCAAAACAUCUAAAGCAUCAACGACCACCACCGUCAAGGAAACCGACAACUCGCAGAAAAUGUGAUUCAAGAUUCUGGCCCUGGUCGAGUCGAGUGCGACCUUUCCAUUGUGGCUCAUGAUGUGGUUCCAAGUUACUUUUUAAGUUUUUUUCAACAAAAUAAAGGUUCUAAUAAAUAAGUAAUAAAAAUAUAAUCA